UGGGGAAUAUUGGACAAUGGGCGAAAGCCUGAUCCAGCCACGCCGCGUGAGUGAUGAAGGCCUUCGGGUCGUAAAGCUCUGUGGGGAGGGACGAAUUGCCGGGUGAAGAACCCGGAGUGACGGUACCUCCUUAGCAAGCACCGGCUAACUUCGUGCCAGCAGCCGCGGUAAUACGAAGGGUGCAAACGUUGCUCGGAAUCAUUGGGCGUAAAGCGCACGUAGGCGGCCCUGUAAGUCGGAUGUGAAAUCCCUCGGCUCAACUGAGGACGUGCAUCCGAAACUGCAGAGCUCGAGUAUGGAAGAGGGUCGCGGAAUUCCCGGUGUAGAGGUGAAAUUCGUAGAUAUCGGGAGGAACACCAGUGGCGAAGGCGGCGACCUGGGCCAAUACUGACGCUGAGGUGCGAAAGCGUGGGGAGCAAAC
rnacentral:rRNA from 1 species